rnacentral:rRNA from 1 species
UAAUCACUUGUCUUUUAAAUGAAGACCUGUAUGAAUGGCAAGACGAGGGCUUAACUGUCUCCUUUUUCAAGUCAAUGAAAUUGAUCUCCCCGUGCAGAAGCGGGGAUAACUACAUAAGACGAGAAGACCCUAUGGAGCUUUAGAUGAUGAAACAGACCACGUCAAAGCAACCCUAAAUAAGGGACUGAACUAACUGGCCACUGUUUUUAUGUCUUCGGUUGGGGCGACCAUGGGGAAAUAAAAAACCUCCACGUGGAAUAGGAGCAUUCAACCCUUUUUCUCUAACCCUCCUCCCAGAAUUAAGAGCUACAGCUCUAACUAACAGAAUUUCUGACCAAAAAUGAUCCGGCAGUGCCGAUCAACGAAUCAAGUUACCCUAGGGAUAACAGCGCAAUCCCCUUUUAGAGCCCA